rnacentral:lncRNA from 1 species
UGAAAAACGAAAUAUACAUAGCUUAAUUCCAUAAACUGCUGGAGACAGACACAAAAUCCGAAAAACAGGAGAUAAUCUUAGUUAGGUUCAUAAUUUGCAUUUACUAAAUGGUAAAAUACAUAUGGCCAACACAAGUGAUGAUCCUUCACGUUCAGCCUUGUUGAUUUGACCUGGGCCCUGAGUCCAGGUGUUGUGGUAGGCACUUCCACAUCAUAAUCUCAUUUAAUCCCUGUAACAAUCUUUGAAAUGUGUUUUAUUAUUAACUUUUGUAGGUGUGGGAAUAAUGCUCACCCAGGACGAAGUACUUGUCCCAAAUCACCCACUGGUUCUUGUAGAUUCACAAUAAAAGAUUAAAAGUUAAAAUUGGAAAAUCAAAUUAUAAGGAGUGGAAACUAAGGACAAAAGAGAGUCAGCCAACAGCUCUGUAUUCCUCAGUGGAACAGUUAACAGUCAGCGGUCCCAUCACACCUCACAGAAUUUUAACGAUACCGUUUCACAGGCACUCUAAAUCUCUCCAAAAAGCAAUCUUCACUCCAACUGGGCCUUUUCCCUGUCAUGGCUGAUCAAUUCCAGCAACAGUAUUCACGGGACCCAGGAAAUGUUUAAUGGACAGCCUCAGCAUCACUGUGAAAGCCCAUUCAGGUGAGUGUCUGGGUUUGAUUCCCUGCACACCCCUUUCCAGAUGACUGACAAUUCC